AUGGGGCUGCAGUUUUAUCUUUAGCCUCCACCCUCAAGUCCAGCUGCGCAGAGGAGAUUAAGGGGUAAUCAGUGGGUGAGGUUCUAGGCUGUCCAUGAGCAGGCACCUGCCUGGGGUAGCCUGGUAUCCUUGAGCAUAGAGUUGGCACUUGAGGUCCAGGGAGGCCCACCUACCUCUCCCUGAACAGAGACUGAAGCCCUGCCUGGCUAUCAGCCCUGUAAGUGACGAAGAGCCCAGUGGCGGCCCUCUGGCUUCUCCCUUGGCUAUGGUGCUGUGCUACAGUAGCCUGGGCAGAGACGGCAGCCUGGCCAUCGCCCUCUAGAGGUCCUAGGGCUAGGACCUCUCCAGCUGACCCACUCUGGGUGCUCACAAGGCAGACCUGGAGGGGGCUGGGCCCACUGGCACCUGCCAGGAAUGCCCCCAUCCCCGCCCUUGUGUCCUGCUGGGCAGCUCAGCUGAGGCAGGCAUGUUGAAUUUGCCUAACCUGUGCCCCUCCUCCCCGCAGGUAAUUAGGACUUCUACUACCUCAGCCACGACCUAUGCAAGGACGGUGUGGACCAAGCCUGCAGCCUGCGCCAGGCCGGCGGAGCCGGACGUGGAGCCACUGUGAAUUGGCGGCACCGCAGGAGGUGCUGGACUGGUCCAGUUUGUACUGUCAAUAGUUUUAGAUAAAGUAUUUAUCGUUUUUUUUUUUUUUUAAAGUAUAAGCAAUUCUUACUUUAUUCCAUCAAAGUCGUCCAAGGCAACCUCUUGAGACGUCUAAGUGUCUGUGAGAGAGAAUAAUAUGAAGACUUGGCCUGCUGGGCUGGCCACCAUGAGGAUGUCUGACUCCGUCCCGGUGCUAUCUCACCAGCAAGCCCAGGCCUGCCCAGACCCACCUCUGCCCUGGUGCUGCCCCAAACGUGGACUGUGGCCAAACAGUUCUCAGAUGUGCCCCCAACACCUUGUUCUGACGCCAAAGGCACGCCUGGCAUGCUCGAUGGGGGCUGAUCUCCAGUCUCCCUCCUUGGAACUUGCCUGCUGUCACUGUGAAUACCCCACUGUUAAUCCUGUGGCUUCGGGCGUGCCUUUGCAGUGGGUGUGGACUAGGCUGGGGCAGGAAUGGGGGUUCCCAGCUGGGCUGAGUGGUGCUGACAGGUGAGGGCCACUACUGCAGGGCUCAGUGGCUCCUGUGACAAGUGCAUUUACUUUGUAAUUCUUUGCUUUUCUGGCUCGGGCAUGCUGGUCAGGUGACGUGGGGUUGGCCCAAUCUGGGUCCCCUGGCAUCUGUGUAUAAGAGAGUCACACGAUCAGUGACAGUAUUUUAUAGAGAUUUGAUGGAGAUUUAUAAAUUUCAUAGACUUGACUGCAUUUAUUUUUAGAUUGUAUAAUGCACAGUGAACUUUAAAGGAAAGAAAAGUGAGGAGGAAAAAUACUUUUAUUUAUUCAGAUGCAC
rnacentral:lncRNA from 1 species